rnacentral:rRNA from 1 species
AACGAACGCUGGCGGCAUGCCUAACACAUGCAAGUCGAACGAAGCCUUCGGGCUUAGUGGCGCACGGGUGCGUAACGCGUGGGAAUCUGCCCUUGGGUUCGGAAUAACAGUUAGAAAUGACUGCUAAUACCGGAUGAUGUCUUCGGACCAAAGAUUUAUCGCCCAAGGAUGAGCCCGCAUAGGAUUAGGUAGUUGGUGGGGUAAUGGCCCACCAAGCCGACGAUCCUUAGCUGGUCCGAGAGGAUGAUCAGCCACACUGGGACUGAGACACGGCCCAGACUCCUACGGGAGGCAGCAGUGGGGAAUAUUGGACAAUGGGCGAAAGCCUGAUCCAGCAAUGCCGCCUGAGUGAUGAAGGCCUUAGGGUUGUAAAGCUCUUUUACCAGGGAUGAUAAUGACAGUACCUGGAGAAUAAGCUCCGGCUAACUCCGUGCCAGCCGCCGCAGUAAAAC